CACUGCUGCCCUGAGCCAUUCUCCAGCCGGGAGAGCUGGCAAUCAGUCCCAGUCCCUUGUGUAAUCAACUAGCUCACCUCGGAGAUAUGCUCACAUCGUGCUGGCGCAGACUCACUUCUUCCACUUUGCAGCGCUACGAUCUGCAGACAGAACUCUGGCCCAGAUUACUCUAUAGUUAAGACAAAACUAGUGUCUUUGUGACAAUUUCUGGAAAAACAAACAUGCAAAAACCCAAGGCAACAUCCUCCGCUGGCUUAAGUGAGUGUAGCUCCUUAGCACUUGUUUCCAUUAGCAGAGGUGCUGGCUCCCGAAAGCCGUUUUGCUCUGUGCUGCUGGCAUAUUUCUGAUUGUGUUGUCAGCAGGAGUCAAGCAAACCACGUUAACGUUGGGAGCUGUGUCUGUGCAGCUAGCUACGUAUAGCUUUCCACCCCACAAGCAUCUGACCUAUGUUAACGACAUCGCGGCAGCUAAAAUUGCAAUGCAACAAUAAAAUUCUCUGUGUGGUAAAAAAUGGCUGUAAAAUUCCCCGUGAAAAAUCCCACUUGAUCUAUAGAUUAAAAACGAAACCAAAGCCCAGCCACUCAGGAAUGCUGAGCACCGCAGACGGGAAUGCUGAUCGUGCUUCGGGACACGGACGGCAGCCUGGGAUCCCGCUGCGGUGCUGCCUCUCCUCCCCGGCGCUCACAGAACUGCACAAGAGAAAGAGCCAGGCACGACUCCGCACAGCACCCUGUGGGAUCGCAACCUCCACGCUCAUUCUUGCAGGCAGAGGGCCCUGCGUGUUAGAUUCCAAGCAUUUUUAAUUAAAAGGGACUGGCUGUUGACAGGAACAGCCAAGGAUCAGUAUCAACAGGGAGGCUGGGUAGUGGGGAGCCAGUGCAGCACCCUGUGUCCUAAAGAAAGAGGAUGUUUUCUCGGCUGUGUGCACAGGACUGAGUGCCAGAGACCACAAUGACGCUGGAAAGCACAAGGUGGAAUUAAGUGACAUGCUGCUCAGGGUACAUUUCCAAAGGAGCAAUUUCAACAGGAGCUGCCAGUGCAGCAUGCCCACCCUCACUGGCAUGCAGUUUCUCAAGACAACCAAAUGGCUGGUGAUGCAGUUACACAGCUCUGCUUGUAAUUCAGACAGAAAACCACAGGAGCUGGUUUACAACCAUGGGAUAAGAGUAUUCUCCUCAUUCAAAAAGAUGUGUUACAGGCUUCCAAGCUACAGAAAGAGCCUGGCUGUGAUGCAUAGGCAUCUCAACUAGACACGCAUUAUCAUCAAACAAGAGCCUAGGGAGCCCAACUGCCAGCCCCACUACUUGAGAAGAGGUUUCCAAAAUGUGUCAUUGCAACAGGAUCCUGUAAACUGGAACUUCAGAGCUAAGAAUAACUAGAAAUGGAUGCCUCAGCACUGGGGAAAAUCUCACCAAGCCGCCUACCCUGCUCCCAAGGUUGGAUUCUCUCAAUGACCAGAGAUCGAUUGCUGGUGAGUUGCUUCUAGCCCCAGUGUUGGUUGGUGCAGUCUCGUGUACACACCUUCAAAGUCUCUGUCAUCCCUUGACUGUACUCCUCUAACUGAGGCUGCACUACAGAUUCACAUCAUCAAGGCAAGUAAAGCAGGAUGGGAUGGAUCAGGAAUGCAGGUUUCAUCAAGCGUGAACACUGCAGAAAUCAACAAGAAACAGCAAGAGACUAUUUCCAGCCUAGAAACAAAUGAGCCCCUAAGGAUGCGAGAAACAGGGACACGGGGUGGUCACUGGCAUGCACAUAAUACAAGAGAAGAGCAAAUAGUGCCUGACGACAGACUUCCAGAGAUGUUC